GAGCUCAUCGUUCAGUGGAUAGGACAGAUGCCUUCUAAGCAUCCAACGUGGGUUCGAUUCCCUCUGAGCUCG
rnacentral:tRNA from 1 species